CCCCAUAUAUAGCGCAGUCCUCCAGUCUCCCAUGGUCCUCCGUCGUCUCCCGCGGCCGCCCGGUUCUCGCCCUCUGUUCUGCGCAGAUCCUUUAGCUUUUUUUUCUAUUUCUUUCUACCGUUGUUAUCUUCUUGGCAAUUCGAUUCGUUUCGUUUGUGUGAUGCAUCCCCCGUCAGAUUUGAUCUUGCUGCUGUGUUGAGUUUCGUUUCCUCGUUCUGGAUGUAGAUGGAAGUGAGGAUCCUUUCCCCAGCUGAUCGACCAUGAUUAUACUGUGCGCAAAUGUAAUCCUUUAUCAGAGGAUUCCAAGCCAGAAAUCUGAUCCAUCUCGUCGUACCAUGCUCCUUCGUUUUUCAUUACUUGGUAUGGAUUGCUUUCUUCUUGAAAUUCUCAGGGGCGAACCUCGAAUCUGUACGAAAUGAUGGACCGAUGGAAUCUAGUUUACUUAAAAGUGGGUAAAUCAGUUUAUUUGGGUUUGCAUCCAUUCAGGUUUGGAUACUCGAAUUGUACGCUUAGUGAUUCUGCACUCAAAUUGUACGCUUAGUGAUUCUGCACUCAAAUUGUAUGCACAGUAGUUGUUUUAAGUUUGACCAUGUAUAUACACUAUUAAACUCUACAAUAUCAAAUACAUGUAACAUGUAAUUAUAUUUCCAUGAAUAAUUAUACAUGUAAUUGUUGGCUGGUGAUCAUUCAGGUCCGAAAGGAUCUUAGCUGAGGCGGAUUCGUCCGCCAUUGAUCGAUUCAUGUUGUUUCAGACUGAAGCCUUUACCUUCCAUCAUCUUCUGUUAAUUUCAUUUCUGUUUCCUCUGUUUUUGUGAUGCGAUGAUGAUUCAUAUAGGUUUUUGGCAGUGGUGGCAUUUGUCACCGCGAGCCCCCAAACCGAAAAACGACUUAUCUUUCCACUGAACAUUGCUUGAAGUUGUGUCAUUCUUUCCUUUUUGUACUACAUCUUGUCCCUGUGAAGAGCACUAGACCAGGAAGUGCCGUAUGACACUGUAAACAGCAGCCGCUUCUCUGCUUCUGCAAGUGUCCAUCUCUGUAUCAUAACCUCUGUGGUUUGCUCUGGGAUGGAAUACCAUUUGCACUGGCUUGAUUCAGCUGUGUGUGUGAUUUGAAACGGGUCUCUGAGGGACUAAGCAAUGAUGCCUGUUCUCUUGCAACCUUUCUUUUUUCCUGUUUUCUUGGGCCCGAUGCCACGUCUCAGGUAGCCACAAGCCUUGACCGGAGAUGCUACAUUGUGCCAACAAAGAUUUUCACAUUUGAUAGGAACCUGUGGCUGUGAUUCAGUCGGUACACAGAGCCGUUUUUUGUGAUUACACCUAUUGCCUCCCUGUAAUAUUUUGUGUAGUUUUACUGGGAAAUCAAUGGCGAUGAUGAUAGAACUAAGGCUUGUUUCUCUAAACAUUCGCAGAUGCCGCCUAAGAGCUUUCGCCCUGCCAGGCUUGAGAGCUAAUGCUGCUAAUUCCUUCCUUGGAUGUCUGAGCCAUGAUGAUUUCCCUAGUUUAUUUUGUUGUUUUUGUUGCAUCUGAUCUUUCUUGCCUUUGAUAUAUUUCACUCACUGGAACGUAGGGUGCACAAACUGGUCGACGAAUGGUUGGCCUUACCUUUGGAAUGUUUAUACGGUAUAAUAAUUAUAUUACGAUGGUCUAUCAUUUACUGUGGUAUACUAGCUUAAAAUAUAAGCUGAAUUUUAGAUUCUUUUGUUGUUAAACAUUAUUAAUCUUAAAUAGGGUGGCAAAUCAUAUGAACUAUUGUUUGUUCUGUUGUCUCUGUUUUCUUUGUUCUUUCAUUGUUAGUUGUCAAUUCGGAUCUUGGAUGGAAAUCCAUGGAAGCAGGUGAUGCCACCGAGACAGGGACAUCAGAACCAUGUAAUUGGUAUGAUGGACCAAGUCUAUAAUGGGAAUCUCUCUGAUGUUUUCUGUUUUCCAAGCCAAUUCAAAUUUUAGGUAUUUUCUUUUGUCUGUUUUGAUUGUCACUACCACUGAGGCAGCUUUUCUUAGUGGAUCAUUUUGUUUGGGAUUUUGUUGGUGCUAUCAGCUUGGUUUAGUAAGUUGGUUGGAGCAAUCUGCCGGUGAUGGUGUUAAAUAUACUUUGCAGCUUUUUGCUUUGAAAUAAACCUACAAUCUGAGGCAUUUGCAUUCAAUCCACUGUUGCGAUUGUACUACCUCUGUCCGGGUUUAUUAGGCCCCAUUGUAUUUUGGAUCCAACUUUGACUAUGUAUUUGACUAAAAAUAUAAAAAAGUAUAAUGCAGAAAAAGUAUAUAGUUGGAUUUGCAUUUCAAAUAGGUUUACUAUGGCAUAGUUUUUGUGACAUAUAGUCUACAUUUUAUUAUUGAAAUGCAUGGUCAAACUUUGGCUCAAAAUAAUAUGGGGCCUAAUAAACCCGGACGGAGGGAGUAUGAAGUUAGCACAGACAGAUCCACAUUUCUCUAUUUUUGUUUUUAUCUAUCAAUUCAGAAAUCCACUGUUUUAAUUUGUUUACACAGGAUCUGAAUCGAUUGUGGCGCCAAAAACUGACCAAGCAGCCCACGGAUUUGAGGAAACAGGUUGAAUCCAUUCAGUAUGAGAUGAGACCUUCGAUGGCCCCAUGUCAGUCUUCAGGCAAAAUUACCCCCUAAUUAGCACAAUCUUUUUAGCCUUACCGACCUACAUGUAAUGUUGAACUAUGUCGACAACUGCAUUGGAUUUGUGCGCCUGGGAUUUUUUCAAUAGUCAGCAGAGCUGCAGAAGAUGCUAGUUAACUGAACUGGUCUGGCUUGGAAUUGUUGUAGAAAUCUAGAUUGUGUCAUGAAAUUCAUGGCCCACAAAGGCAAAUAAAAUAUAAAGUGAGGUUGCUGUUUGCACUUUGAAGCUUGCCAAGUGGUUUCAAGCAGUGGUGGAGCUACGUUGAAGCAAAAUGCUCCAUGGCCCGCCCAAUUUUGCUACAACAGACUGAGCCUAAGGGUAAAUUCGGGUCAUAAUUAUCUGAAAAUUGGGCCUCUCUUCACUAGCCCGCCCAUGCUUUUGAAUGUAGCUCCGCCACAGGUUUCAAGACGCAUGAUGAUACCGACAUAGCCAAUCGGAAUUUGGCGGCCGCGCGGGUGGUUAUCUCGUGGCGUGCAUCUAUCUCUAGCAGAUCCUGUAAAUCAGGACAAGCAUACCUUUCCUUUAAUGGAGUAUCUUGGGUAUGGCACUCCCUCUUUAUCA